CCUACGAUGGGCUGCAGUGGGGAAUAUUGGACAAUGGGCGAAAGCCUGAUCCAGCCAUGCCGCGUGUGUGAAGAAGGCCUUCGGGUUGUAAAGCACUUUCAGUGGGGAAGAAAGCCUUGGGGCUAAUACCCUCGAGGAAGGACAUCACCCACAGAAGAAGCACCGGCUAACUCCGUGCCAGCAGCCGCGGUAAUACGGAGGGUGCGAGCGUUAAUCGGAAUUACUGGGCGUAAAGCGCGCGUAGGCGGUCUGAUAAGCCGGUUGUGAAAGCCCCGGGCUCAACCUGGGAACGGCAUCCGGAACUGUCAGGCUAGAGUGCAGGAGAGGAAGGUAGAAUUCCCGGUGUAGCGGUGAAAUGCGUAGAGAUCGGGAGGAAUACCAGUGGCGAAGGCGGCCUUCUGGACUGACACUGACGCUGAGGUGCGAAAGCGUGGGUAGCAAACAGGAUUAGAUACCCUAGUAGUC
rnacentral:rRNA from 1 species